UGUUUCAACUCCUUCCCUCAAAACGACGCUUUAUAAAUAUAUCUCCAAACCAGGAAAGCCAUUACAGACACAAUAGAAAUGGCCCAACGCUCUUUCGAGACACAAGCCUCCUCAUUACAUCAUCUCAGAGAGUCCAGGCUUCAAUCAAAUUUAAAUCAGACAACCUAAAAAGUUAGCUAUGACCCCUAUAUAGCUCCCUGGGAGUCUGAC